rnacentral:lncRNA from 1 species
GACUGUCCAGUUUCACAAAUCUACAACAAUAUCGGCAUAGUGGCUCCACAGACCUUCAGUUUGGGAGGUAGCCUAAUACCUUUUCUCUACCACACUUUCCUUCAGAGCCUUGAAAAAAUUGAGCUUCCUCUGACAAUAAGUGUGUCAGCCUCAGCAUCUUUGAUUACAUCUCUGGAAGCUAUACUGCCAAGGGGAUAAUUAGACUGAACUUUUCUGAGUGGCUAUUGUUGACUCUGGAUUCUUUGUGAUAUUGUGGGUCCUGGUAACAAUCAGUCCAAAGUUAUCCAAACAGGAGCAUCUGGAGGACUUUGCUAUCACCUGGUAAUUUUCUUUCACUUGGAUUCUGGGCUGAUCAUCCUGUGAUAGA